CUCCCCAGCUCUAUCCUUACAAAUAAAAGAAAUAUCAGUAUUACACCAGACACCAAUAAACAAUUUUUCAGCUUCUGCUAAACAUUUUCUUUCAAUGUUUUUUAACCCAUUGAGUGUCAGCACUCUCCCCUGAUGAGUAAAUAGUCUAGUAUUAGACAGUAAAAUAAUCUGGCGUUAGGCAGAGUAAAAUAAUAGACAACUGGUUGAUCAUUUGAGCAUAGAUAACUGGUUGAUCAGUAUAAAUCCUUGCAAUGCAUCACACAGUAGUCAAUACAUUUAUAUAUAGUGUUGCGAUAGUGUUGAAUUUCCUCCAUUU